GCUUAACACAUGCAAGUUGAACGGUAACGGGGAGGGAGAUUACUUUCUCUGCUGACGAGUGGCGGACGGGUGAGUAAAGCUUGGGAAUCUGGCGAAUGGAGGGGGAUAGCCACGGGAAACUGUGGGUAAUACCGCGUAAUGUCUAAGGACCAAAGGGGUGGGGACUGAGAGGCCACCUGCCAUUUGAUGAGCCCAAGUGGGAUUAGGUAGUUGGUGAGGUAAGGGCUCACCAAGCUGACGAUCUCUAGCUGGUCUGAGAGGAUGGCCAGCCACACUGGAACUGAGACACGGUCCAG
rnacentral:rRNA from 1 species